CCAGCCCAACACCUCCCCCGUUUGGGGUUUAGAGUUGCGUUUCCUCACUGGGGUGAGGUGUGAACUCUUUCUGCUGAUCCGGCCUCCAGAGACUCUCCUUCAGGACCCCAUCUUUGCUCCCUCAGCUGCCUCCUGGGUCCUCUCCCCCUUCGCCACUGACUGCCGAGUAGGAGAGGCACUGGCUGCAGCCC